CCCUUAGAUGUUCUGGGCCGCACACGCGCUACACUGAAGGAGGCAGCGUGUACUCCUGGAUCGAAAGAUUUGGGUAACCCGCGAAUCUCCUUCGUGCUAGGGAUUGAGGUUUGCAAUUAUCCUUCAUGAACGAGGAAUUCCCAGUAAGUGCAAGUCAUAAGCUUGCGCUGACUACGUCCCUGCCCUUUGUACACACCGCCCGUCGCUACUACCGAUUGAAUGAUUUAGUGAGAACUUCAGACUGGGACCGAUGCGGCUUUCGGGCUGCGUCGGUAUUCUGGAAAGAUGUCCAAACUGUAUCAUUUAGAGGAAGUAAAAGUCGUAACA
rnacentral:rRNA from 1 species